rnacentral:rRNA from 1 species
AGACCUACGGGGCGCAGCAGUUAGGAAUAUUCGGCAAUGGGGGAAACCCUGACCGAGCAAUGCCGCGUGUGAGAUGACGGCCCUAUGGGUUGUAAAUCACUUUUAUUUGGGAAGAACUGUAAGUAGAGGAAAUGAUACUUACUUGACGGUACCUUUUGAAUAAGCUCCGGCUAACUACGUGCCAGCAGCCGCGGUAAUACGUAGGGAGCGAGCGUUAUCCGGAAUUAUUGGGCGUAAAGGGUGCGUAGAUGGCAUAGUAAGUCUUUUGUAAAAAUGCUGGGCUCAACCCAGUAGGGCAAAAGAUA